rnacentral:rRNA from 1 species
AUUGAACGCUAGCGGCAGGCCUAAUACAUGCAAGUCGAACGGUGUAGCAAUACACAGUGGCGCACGGGUGCGUAACACGUAUGCAACCUACCUAUCAUUGGGGGAUAGCCUUUGGAAACGGAGAUUAAUACCGCAUAAGACAGUAACAUGGCAUCAUGUAGCUGUUAAAGCUUCGGCGAUGAUAGAUGGGCAUGCGUCCAAUUAGUUAGUUGGUGAGGUAAUGGCUCACCAAGACGAUGAUUGGUAGGGGAUCUGAGAGGAUAAUCCCCCACACUGGCACUGAGAUACGGGCCAGACUCCUACGGGAGGCAGCAGUAGGGAAUAUUGGGCAAUGGACGGAAGUCUGACCCAGCCAUGCCGCGUGCAGGAUGAAGGCGUUAUGCGUUGUAAACUGCUUUUUUAUAGGAAGAAGGAGACCUUGCGAGGUUUGGUGACGGUACUAUAAGAAUAAGCACCGGCUAACUCCGUGCCAGCCGCCGCCGUAACAC